CAUUACCGAGUUUACAACUCCCAAACCCAAUGUGAACGUUACCAAACUGUUGCCUCGGCGGGGUCACGCCCCGGGUGCGUCGCAGCCCCGGAACCAGGCGCCCGCCGGAGGAACCAACCAAACUCUUUCUGUAGUCCCCUCGCGGACGUAUUUCUUACAGCUCUGAGCAAAAAUUCAAAAUGAAUCAAAACUUUCAACAACGGAUCUCUUGGUUCUGGCAUCGAUGAAGAACGCAGCGAAAUGCGAUAAGUAAUGUGAAUUGCAGAAUUCAGUGAAUCAUCGAAUCUUUGAACGCACAUUGCGCCCGCCAGUAUUCUGGCGGGCAUGCCUGUCCGAGCGUCAUUUCAACCCUCGAACCCCUCCGGGGGAUCGGCGUUGGGGAUCGGGACCCCUCACACGGGUGCCGGCCCCGAAAUACAGUGGCGGUCUCGCCGCAGCCUCUCCUGCGCAGUAGUUUGCACAACUCGCACCGGGAGCGCGGCGCGUCCACGUCCGUAAAACACCCAACUUUCUGAAAUGUUGACCUCGGAUCAGGUA
rnacentral:sRNA from 1 species